UCACAAGCAGCUUCAGACUCCAUUCACACUCCAAAUCUUGCUCCUCAGUGCCACAUUCUUCCAUCACCGCUGUUCCAUAACUACAGUCAUCCACUGCAUUCUUCCAUCAUCAACACCUUUGGGACUUCCAUCACUCUCGUCGUUGUCAAUCAUCACUCUCGGUCCCUUGAACAAACAGAACCUGGAGUUUUUCUGAGCUGGGUUGGAGCUGAAUCCAAGGUACGGAAGCUUCUCAGUACAUCCAGUUGGGAAAGCUAUUGUGGAUGCUGCUCAGAAAGUUAAUUGUACUAACGCUAAGGUUGCAGAUGGAACAUUCCUUGAAGAACCUGGUUCUGGUGCAGCAGCAACUGUUGAUAACAAAAAGGUCUUUGUUGGGACAUUGGAUUGGAUCACCAGAUCCUUAAAGAUAGACGGUUGAAUGAGACUGCCGUUCUUGGUGUCCCUGUGAAAGCCACAAUCAAAGAAGUAUUUUUGUAAAAAGCAAAUCCUGAUAGAUUAUUCACAAGCUUAAUAUUUAGUUUGCUACAUUAAAAUAA